UCCUUAGUAGCUUAGCUGGUUAAAGCGUAUAACUGUUAAUUAUAAAAUCAUUGGUUCAAAUCCAAUUUAAGGAG
rfam:PVC group bacterium (ex Bugula neritina AB1) isolate AB1-3 AB834_contig000086, whole genome shotgun sequence.